GGGGAUGUAAAGGUUUCGACGGGGACUUUGAAUCUCGAUAAGCGAGCAGAGGACGGUGCUGUAACUCUUUAAACCGCACACGUUUUAAAAUUAGACGACAAGAAUAAUUUUGUACCGAUGGCUGCUUGACAGCCGUCCGUCCUGCUCUUGAGUACUGCGGCUUGAGCCUGGGCGUCGAUUAGCAGUGAACGUCACCGUGAAGUGCCUGUGUCACGGAUGAUGUAUUGCAGGCUACUCUGACGGCUCCGUGCUUACCCGGAUGCCGCUCGGGGGAAUGUUGUAGAUAAGCUGCGCUCGGAGAAGUUCGGGUGGAUAGGUUUUCGGACACGGGUUCGAUUCCCGUCAUCUCCACCA
rnacentral:tmRNA from 1 species